GAUGAACGCUAGCGGGAGGCCUAACACAUGCAAGCCGAGCGGGAUUUGUUGGUUAGCUUGCUAACUAACAAUGAGAGCGGCGUACGGGUGCGUAGCACGUGUGCAACCUGCCUUUAUCUGGGGGAUAGCCUUUCGAAAGGAAGAUUAAUACCCCAUAACAUAUUGAUUGGCAUCAGUUAAUAUUGAAAGCUCCGGCGGAUAGAGAUGGGCACGCGUAAGAUUAGCUAGUUGGUGAGGUAACGGCUCACCAAGGCUGCGAUCUUUAGGGGGCCUGAGAGGGUGAUCCCCCACACUGGUACUGAGACACGGACCAGACUCCUACGGGAGGCAGCAGUGAGGAAUAUUGGACAAUGGGUGAGAGCCUGAUCCAGCCAUCCCGCGUGAAGGACUAAGGACCUAUGGUUUGUAAACUUCUUUUAUACAGGGAUAAACCUACUCUCGUGAGGGUAGCUGAAGGUACUGUAUGAAUAAGCACCGGCUAACUCCG
rnacentral:rRNA from 1 species